AUACGGAGGAUGCGAGCGUUAUCCGGAUUUAUUGGGUUUAAAGGGAGCGUAGAUGGAUGUUUAAGUCAGUUGUGAAAGUUUGCGGCUCAACCGUAAAAUUGCAGUUGAUACUGGAUAUCUUGAGUGCAGUUGAGGCAGGCGGAAUUUCUGGGGUAGCGGUGAAAUGCUUAGAUAUCACGAAGAACUCCGAUUGCGAAGGCAGCCUGCUAAGCUGCAACUGACAUUGAGGCUCGAAAGUGUGGGUAUCAAACAGGAUUAGAUACCCUGGUAGUCCACACGGUAAACGAUGAAUACUCGCUGUUUGCGAUAUACGGCAAGCGGCCAAGCGAAAGCGUUAAGUAUUCCACCUGGGGAGUACGCCGGCAACGGUGAAACUCAAAUGAAUUGGCGGGG
rnacentral:rRNA from 1 species